AGUGGGAAAAAUGGCGGACGUCGCAACAUCCCAGGGCAGGGAAGAUCGUUUACAAUGUAGAGUUUCGAGACGCAAACGCAACACUUGUAAAAUACAAAAACUUUGUGAAGAUAUUGCUAAAAAUGACAUUAAGGAAUUGAUAGCUGAAGUCAAAACAGAACCCCUGCCCUAUGAUGAGAGUUCACUCCCCUUUCUUGAUAUCAAGCUAAAAGAAGAGUUG